rnacentral:SRP_RNA from 2 species
GCCAGGCAUGGUGGUGCAUGCCUGUAAUCCCAGCUACCCAGGAGGCUGAGGCAGGAAAAUCGCUUGAACCCGGGAGGUGGAGGUUGCAGUGAGCCAAGAUCACGCCACUGUACUCCAGCCUGGGCAACAGAGCGAGUCUCUGUCUCAA